AAGAAACCAACAGGGAUUGCUUAGUAACGGCGAGUGAAGCGGCAAAAGCUCAAAUUUGAAAUCUAGCACUUUCAGUGUUCGAGUUGUAAUUUGAAGAAGGUAACUUUGGAAUUGGCUCUUGUCUAUGUUCCUUGGAACAGGACGUCACAGAGGGUGAGAAUCCCGUGCGAUGAGAUGUCCAAUUCUAUGUAAAGUGCUUUCGAAGAGUCGAGUUGUUUGGGAAUGCAGCUCUAAGUGGGUGGUAAAUUCCAUCUAAAGCUAAAUAUUGGCGAGAGACCGAUAGCGAACAAGUACAGUGAUGGAAAGAUGAAAAGAACUUUGAAAAGAGAGUGAAAAAGUACGUGAAAUUGUUGAAAGGGAAGGGCUUGAGAUCAGACUUGGUAUUUUGUGUUCCUUAUCCUUCUUGGAUUGGGUUCCUCACAGCUUACCGGGCCAGCAUCGGUUUGGAUGGCAGGAUAAUGACAUUGGAAUGUAGCUUUGCUUCGGUGAAGUGUUAUAGACUUUGUUGAUACUGCCUAUCUAGACCGAGGACUGCGUCUUGACUAGAUGCUGCG
rnacentral:rRNA from 1 species